AGUAUAACUUCUUCCAAGUAUCACCACUGGUUAAAACCAUUCGUGCAAGUAGGCCUGCGUUUUUAUUCAAAUUUUCUAAAUUACCUGUUAUGCUCUAAGCUUUGUAAAAAACCUGCAGGUUCCUUCCUAAGUUUCCUACAAGGCGCCCUGACGCCACUUUGCGCCUUGGGCGGCACAACCACCGUUCCUGGAUGCACCACGCUCCUGACCGGAAACCAGACGUGCUCGGCGCCCAUCUCAAUUACGUUACCUGAUACCUUGAAUAUCUCCAGGUGCCUGAAUCAGACGCUUCUGCUCUGCCAGAAUGGAACCAUCGCUACAGAUGGACUGUUGAUAAAUGUCAUCAACACCGUAACGUGUCUACUGACUUCGCUGCUGACAACCAAUCCUGGCACAAGCAUUAAUGGACUCGUCUGCCUCAUCGCCGGACUUCUACAAGCUGUUCCUGGCCUCAACUUUCUUGGAUUUUUCCUACGGCUGACAUUCGGCUGUUCGUAAAAGAAUGAUCGAGAGCACCACAGCCGCGAUGUCCUUGCAAAGAGGAAAACGGUGGAGAUAUAACAGUAACAGUUUGUUUCGCGGAGUUGCCAGUGGCAUCGUGGAGAAAAAAAUUUAUAAUAAUGCGAAAUCCCAGUGCGAUCUAUUUAUGUCUGCAAAAUAUACCCAUACCAAAAGCA